rnacentral:rRNA from 1 species
UACGGAGGGUGCAAACGUUGCUCGGAAUCAUUGGGCGUAAAGCGCACGUAGGCGGCCUGUUAAGUCGGAUGUGAAAGCCCCGGGCUCAACCCGGGAAGUGCAUACGAAACUGGCAGGCUUGAAUAUGGAAGAGGGUCGCGGAAUUCCCGGUGUAGAGGUGAAAUUCGUAGAUAUCGAGAGGAACACCGGUGGCGAAGGCGGCCUUCUGGACAGUGACUGACGCUGAGACGCGAAAGCGUGGGGAGCAAACAGG